rnacentral:tRNA from 1 species
GCCUUCGUGGUGUAAUGGUCAGCACUUCGUCGCGUAUUCGAAAAGUCCAGGUUCGAGUCCCGGCAAGGGCA